rnacentral:misc_RNA from 1 species
GGAUCUCAUAAUGUUUAUGAUGAUAGCAUUGGAGAUUACCUGAAAACAAAGAACUAUUGACUCCAGCAUGGGACAAGUUGUAGGAAGUAGUCUAAGGGCAUCUUCACCCAAUGAUCCACCCAAACCAACACUUAUUGCCCUUAAUGACAUAAUUGCAGGUCUAAGAGCUACUAAAGAAAACCAAGAAAAUCCCCAACCAAGUGCAAUCUCUUCCAGUUUACAUUUCUUGCCCAACACAGCAUAGAGAUCUCUACAUGAAUAUGAGGAAGAAAGUUCUACUCCACUGGCGUUACUUCCUUGAUGAAUCAGAUUUUUACAGCCUCUUGCAUUCAAACACUUCAAAGCAGGAUUUCCAUUGACAACGUGAGAUAAAGCAGCUCCAGAAACCAUUGUAUUACAAACAUCAAGUGUCUCCAAGGAAGAACCUGGGAAACUAUAAAGAGCAUCAUCAACAAGGUGAGUGUCCC